GUCUUGUCUCUUUUUUAAAGCUGCAGAACACAGCACAACAAGGAGGUGAUAGCUGCAGUGGUUCAAGCAGUAAAAGAUGCAGAACCAAAUUGGAGCUUCCACCAAGUUAGAAAAAUUUUUGGGAUAGGGAGGCAAUCCUACUGGUGUGAUAGACACAAUUCACCUAGUGCAACGGUGUGAAACUCAAUCACACAGGGGGCCAAAAUCCAGAUAACAUAGAAGAAAAUUGGAGUCUUCAUAUGAAGAAUUCUCACAGAGGAUGGACCACAUGGAAGAAAAACAAGCGGCGAUAUCCCAGACUCUAGAAGUCCUACUCCACAAAAUUGAGAACAUGCAAGAAGAACAAGCGGCGAUAUCCCAGACUCUAGAAGUCCUACUCCACAAAUUUGAGAACAUGCAAGAAAACCAAGCAGCCAGGACACCCGACACAAAAACACCUACUGAACUUUCAACUCUUGUCCGUCACAUACACAAGAAUCUUGGAGAGCAGCUUCAGUGGAAGAUCCGGCCAACUGACA
rnacentral:lncRNA from 1 species